CAAUAGCGUAUAUUAAAGUUGUUGCAGUUAAAAAGCUCGUAGUUGGAUUUCUGGUGGGAGCGAUCGGUCUGGCGCUUAGCGCGAGUACUUGCAUCGUCUCAGGCCAUCCUUGGGGAGAGUCUGUCUGGCAUUAGGUUGUCGGGCAGAGGAUCCUCAUCGUUUACUGUGAAAAAAUUAGAGUGUUCAAAGCAGGCUUAUGCCGUUGAAUAUAUUAGCAUGGAAUAAUAAGAUAGGACUUUGGUACUAUUUUGUUGGUUUGCGCACCAAAGUAAUGAUUAAUAGGGACAGUUGGGGGUAUUCGUAUUCCGUUGUCAGAGGUGAAAUUCUUGGAUUUACGGAAGACGAACUACUGCGAAAGCAUUUACCAAGGAUGUUUUCAUUAA
rnacentral:rRNA from 1 species